CGACACUAGGAGCCGGCUUUUGUAUCUGCGGAUCUUAAUUCAUCAUGCAGGCUUCCUGGUCAACCGUAUGGGGUAGAUCCACGAUAGCCGCACACGUAACUGGUGAAUUACCGCCUGUCUCGUGAAGCGUGGAAAGCAACCGCCCCACGUUUUUCCGUGAACCGCUAUACCGGCUACCUUGAGAAGGGAAGGGAGUAGAUAGAUGGAUAGAAGAGAUGAGAGAUCCACGUGGAUGAUGGGAUUGGUGGUUUGAAAUGACGACAAUGUCCUUGGUGUCGUGACUUUCACGAUUUGAAAAGGUCAUCCAACGCCUCAUCAAUCACAAGGAUAAAGAUUUUUAUUAUUUUAAAGUUUUCCAGGUUAAGUGGAAUCUACCGAAAAG
rnacentral:misc_RNA from 1 species